CCUACGGGAGGCAGCAGUGGGGAAUCUUGCGCAAUGGGCGAAAGCCUGACGCAGCAACGCCGCGUGCGGGAAGAAGGCUCUCGGGUUGUAAACCGCUUUCAGCAGGAACGAAAAUGACGGUACUUGCAGAAGAAGGUGCGGCCAACUACGUGCCAGCAGCCGCGGUGACACGUAGGCACCAAGCGUUGUCCGGAUUUAUUGGGCGUAAAGAGCUCGUAGGCGGUUCGGUAAGUCAGGUGUGAAAACUUUGGGCUCAACCCAAAGCCUGCAUCUGAUACUGCUGUGACUAGAGUUCGGUAGGGGAGCGGGGAAUUCCUAGUGUAGCGGUGAAAUGCGCAGAUAUUAGGAGGAACACCGGUGGCGAAGGCGCCGCUCUGGGCCGAAACUGACGCUGAGGAGCGAAAGCGUGGGUAGCAAACAGGAUUAGAUACCCUGGUAGUCCACGCCGUAAACGUUGGGCACUAGGUGUGGGUUUCAACCAACGAAAUCCGCGCCGUCGCUAACGCAUUAAGUGCCCCGCCUGGGGAGGUACGGCCGCGAGUAACGUACGAAGAAGUAGAGGCGNGAAGAGUGCGAGCGACGACGAGGGAGAGG
rnacentral:rRNA from 1 species